UCUUGCGGCAGAAAACGUCUGUCUGUUGUUGACUGCGCAACGUUUAUCAAGAGGAAUGUGUCUACUCCGGUUCCUUCCCCCCUUACUUUGUGAUGAUUGGGCAGCACGACCGGCUCUGCCCGGUUUGAUCCUGUUGGUUCCCCGACGAUGCAGUGCGUUGAGUAGGCUAAGUAAGGGGAUACAUCAUCCAAGGAGGAGGCAGACAUCAUUCACCGCAAACUAUGCAACUUCUUAGGGUGGAACCUGAAGGGUGCAUCAAAGCAACCAUUGAGGAUUUCCAUUUUAAUCUCUAGGUUUUGGGCUGUCCAUCAUUGUUAUACGUAGGCGAGUGAUAUCUCGAGAUUAUGUAUUUUGGACAAUCAUAACAAAAAUACAGAUAAAAUAGAGCGCUGCUGAAUAAUUGAAUUUAGAUAAGGCUAUUUGGUUAAUUAUGAAGAUCAUGUUAUUGAGUUUUAUAACUGUUUAACAACGAUGUUAUCUGGGUAAAUAGAGAUACUAAGAAUGUAUUGUUGAGUCACAUAACAUAAUUUGUUUGUCUCAUGUAACAUUUCUUUAGAGCAGAGCAGGAUCCAGCCUCGCGAGAAUACGCCUCGCUCGCCAAGAGACGAAAGUUGCGCAGGCGUACAGUUGCACAUCCAUGGUGGAGGGAAUCUUUGAGGCACAACGAGGAUCAUCGUUGGACAUCCAUGAAGCCUGAAGCGUCUCAAUGGAAACUUGAGCAAAAAGGGCUGGACUGUUGGACUAGCUAGCUAGCCUAGCCUAGCUAGCUAUAUACGCAGCUGUACUUUUGACCAUCACCGUGUUUUCGGUUUUGUUCAUUCUAAUAAAAUAUAACUUGCA